rnacentral:rRNA from 1 species
GACGAACGCUGGCGGCGUGCUUAACACAUGCAAGUCGAACGGAGUGGCGAACGGGUGAGUAACACGUGGGUGACCUGCCCUGCACUUCGGGAUAAGCCUGGGAAACUGGGUCUAAUACCGGAUAGUGUGGGAUGGGCCCGCGGCCUAUAAGCUUGUUGGUGGGGUAAUGGCCUACCCAGGCGGCGACGGGUAGCCGGCCUGGAGGGGUGGACGGCCACAUUGGGGCUGAGACACCGCACAGAGUCCUACGGGAGGAAGCAGUGGGGGAAAAUGCACGAGGGGCGGAAGCGUGAUGCAGCGACGCCUCGGGGGGGAUGGGGGCCUUAGGGUUGUAAACUACUGUCACCAUCGAAGCGUUACCAACAAAAGAAGCAAGGGGAAACUUCGUGCCAGCAGCCGCGGUAAUAC